GUGGGGAAUAUUGGACAAUGGGCGGAAGCCUGAUCCAGCCAUGCCGCGUGUGUGAAGAAGGCCUUUUGGUUGUAAAGCACUUUAAGCGAGGAGGAGGCUCUUAAGGUUAAUACCCUUGAUGAGUGGACGUUACUCGCAGAAUAAGCACCGGCUAACUCUGUGCCAGCAGCCGCGGUAAUACAGAGGGUGCGAGCGUUAAUCGGAUUUACUGGGCGUAAAGCGUGCGUAGGCGGCUGAUUAAGUCGGAUGUGAAAUCCCUGAGCUUAACUUAGGAAUUGCAUUCGAUACUGGUCAGCUAGAGUAUGGGAGAGGAUGGUAGAAUUCCAGGUGUAGCGGUGAAAUGCGUAGAGAUCUGGAGGAAUACCGAUGGCGAAGGCAGCCAUCUGGCCUAAUACUGACGCUGAGGUACGAAAGCAUGGGGAGCAAACAGGAUUAGAAACCCUAGUAGUCC
rnacentral:rRNA from 1 species